rnacentral:lncRNA from 1 species
UGCACAUGCCGACGAGGUGUAACUACAACUGCAUCAAUGGGUACGCGUCGGCGUCGCGGUUGUCGUUGACGAGCCAGAAGAGCUCGGCGUAAGAGGCGUGCUGGAUGGUGCAGUGAAAUACCACCGACUGAGACUGUGAGUGCCCUAUCUAUCUACGCUGCAGCAUAUGUUUAACUGGAUGAUCAGUUAGUUCGUUUGAGACGGUAGCUAAUCCAGGCAGCAAGUAGCAUGGCUAAUGACGUGUGUAAAAACAAUAUUGCUGAAGAUGGAGGAGGACUAGAUUGGCCGUGCUCGUUUGGCAGGCAUGCAUCAUGUCUGUGCAGUAUAAUGGCAGAGUGGAGCAGGCAACUAAUGACCCAAUCGUCUGUGUAUUAGCAGCACCAAGAUCUUAGCUACUGAAAAAUAGGGUUCCCAUCCCGACAAUUUAUUUUGUGUCCUUCUAAACUGAAAAAUAGAAGGGAUAUCGUUGUGCCUUGCGUGAAAGGCAGGCUGGGCAUCAUCAAUCGAGCAGAGUUUGCUGCAGUUUUUGGUGGUUGUUUCUUUCAUGUAUUACAGUUUUGCCUUUUCUUGCUCCCCGAGCCGCCGCGGAAAUGCUACACCUAAGUAAUCUGUUACUUACGUUUC